GGGGAUGUGGCUCAAGUGGUAGAGUGCUCGCCUGGCAUGCGGGGCGCUGGGUUCAAUCCUCAGCACCACA
rnacentral:tRNA from 1 species